AUGAUCGAAUUUCGUCAUAGGUUUGGUGAAGAUUCUUGUCAUGGCUCUACUCUACUAAUGUCUACUACUUGGUCUUUUUCUUAUAAACGUUUAUCUUCUUUUCUUUUUAAUUAUUAAAAAAAGAUGGCUCUAUUAGUCUCCCACUUGUUCCUCUCCUAGCUGCCACUUUAAUGCAAAUUAAUCAAUUAAUCAAUGUCUUCCACUUGGAAUUUCUCUUAUUUGUAUAAAAUUCUAC
rnacentral:lncRNA from 1 species